UAAUACGUAGGGUGCGAGCGUUGUCCGGAAUUAUUGGGCGUAAAGGGCUCGUAGGCGGUUUGUCGCGUCGGGAGUGAAAACACUGGGCUUAACUCAGUGCUUGCUUUCGAUACGGGCAGACUAGAGGCAUGCAGGGGAGAACGGAAUUCCUGGUGUAGCGGUGAAAUGCGCAGAUAUCAGGAGGAACACCGGUGGCGAAGGCGGUUCUCUGGGCAUGUCCUGACGCUGAGGAGCGAAAGUGUGGGGAGCGAACAGGAUUAGAUACCCUGGUAGUCCACACCGUAAACGUUGGGCGCUAGGUGUGGGAUCCAUUCCACGGGUUCCGUGCCGCAGCUAACGCAUUAAGCGCCCCGCCUGGGGAGUACGGCCGCAAGGCUAAAACUUAAAGGAAUUGACGG
rnacentral:rRNA from 1 species